CAUUAAUGAAUAACGGCUUCACGGCCCUAUUCUCACCCUCUGUAUACCUAACUUGGUUGCUUUGGCAGGCCCCUGGCUUCGGCUGGACAGCGCCUGCCAGAGGACAUAAACUCUGGAAUCUUUGCUGUCUGAGUACUAUAUAAUAGUUAAAACUUUCAACAACGGAUCUCUUGGUUCUGGCAUCGAUGAAGAACGCAGCGAAAUGCGAUAAGUAAUGUGAAUUGCAGAAUUCAGUGAAUCAUCGAAUCUUUGAACGCACAUUGCGCCCUCUGGUAUUCCGGGGGGCAUGCCUGUUCGAGCGUCAUUACAACCCUCACGCCUAGCGUGGUAUUGGGCUCCGCCUGCUAAAGGCCGGCCUCAAAAUCAGUGGCGGCACCGUCUGACUCUAAGCGUAGUAAUACUCGUCGCUUUUGGGCUCAGGCGGCAGCCUGCCAGCAACCCCCACUUUCAAGGUUGACCUCGGAUCAGGUAGGGAUACCCGCUGAACUUAAGCAUAUCAAAGCCGGAGGAAA
rnacentral:rRNA from 1 species